rnacentral:lncRNA from 1 species
AUUGUUCCCAGGUUAAAAGACAAAAUGUUUUCUGAAAUCCUUUUUUCUCUUUGCAGGAGAAGGCUACCAUAAAGAUGAAGAAAAAUGAUGAGAAGAGAACACAAGAAAAAGGACUCAGACUGGACAAGAUGGAAAGCAUUAUAGAUCUUACAACUACGUUGGCAUCUGCCAUGUGUAAACAGUAUGAUCAGCAUUAGGACAAGAAGACCUGAAGGAAUUUCCUGAGGUCAUUACAUCCAUUUUUCUGACUUAGAGAAGGUCUGUAACAACCCAGACAAAACAAUUACUCACCCAGCCUGUUUCUCAUCUCACCAAGGGGAAAGACUAGGAUUGGAAAUAACUGCUACGAAGCCUCAAAAGAAUUACUCCAUAUAUAAUAAAACACCAG